UACGGAGGGUGCGAGCGUUGUCCGGAAUCACUGGGCGUAAAGGGCGCGUAGGUGGCGACCCAAGUCAACGGUGAAGCUCGACGCUCAACGUCGAGUCGGCCGUCGAUACUGGGUUGCUCGAGCACUGUAGAGGCAGAUGGAAUUCCGGGUGUAGCGGUGGAAUGCGUAGAGAUCCGGAAGAACACCGGUGGCGAAGGCGGUCUGCUGGCAGUAGCUGACACUGAGGCGCGACAGCGUGGGAGCAACAGG
rnacentral:rRNA from 1 species